rnacentral:misc_RNA from 1 species
UACAGAGGCCUCAAGCGUUAUCCGGAAUUAUUGGGCGUAAAGGGUGUGUAGGUGGUUAUAUUAGUCUCAUGUUAAAUCCUCGGGCUCAACCCGAGAAUCGCAUGAGAAACGGUAUAACUAGAGGAUGCGAGAGGUGUACGGAACUCAUGGAGUAGGGGUGAAAUCCGUUGAUAUCAUGGGGAACACCAAAAGCGAAGGCAGUACACUGGCGUAUUCCUGACACUGAGACACGAAAGCUAGGGUAGCGAACGGG